rnacentral:rRNA from 1 species
GGAUGAACGCUGGCGGCGUGCUUAACCCAUGCAAGUCGAACGGAAAGGCUCCUGCUUGCAGGGGUACUCGAGUGGCGAACGGGUGAGUAACACGUGGGUGAUCUGCCCUGCACUUCGGGAUAAGCCUGGGAAACUGGGUCUAAUACCGGAUAGGACGAUGGUUUGGAUGCCAUUGUGGAAAGUUUUUUCGGUGUGGGAUGAGCUCGCGGCCUAUCAGCUUGUUGGUGGGGUAAUGGCCUACCAAGGCGUCGACGGGUAGCCGGCCUGAGAGGGUGUACGGCCACAUUGGGACUGAGAUACGGCCCAGACUCCUACGGGAGGCAGCAGUGGGGAAUAUUGCACAAUGGGCGCAAGCCUGAUGCAGCGACGCCGCGUGGGGGAUGACGGCCUUCGGGUUGUAAACUCCUUUCGCUAGGGACGAAGCGCAAGUGACGGUACCUGGAGAAGAAGCACCGGCUAACUACGUG